GCCUGGGUGGCUCAGUCGGUUGAGCGUCCGACUUCGGCUCAGGUCAUGAUCUCACAGCUCGCGAGUUCCAGCCCCGCGUCAGGCU
rfam:Felis catus isolate Cinnamon breed Abyssinian chromosome A3, whole genome shotgun sequence.